CCACUGCUUUCAACUCCAGAUGGCAUCCCGCUAAUUUCUGGUAUCCUGGAAGCAGACACAGUUAUAUCUUCCUCUGCAGAAGGAGUGCCCUGGCCCAACAAGAGCAGCCAAGCGUGACCCAAGAGAUGGAGGAGCACCUGACCCACCUGAGAGCAGCGAUAUGUCAGUUGGGAAGACCUCUGUUCCCCAGGCUGUUCGGUUCUCAAUUUCGGUGGAAAACUCCAUCUCCACAGUAGUUUCCUCCCCGGAAGAUGGCAGAGCUGGAAAAGAAAGAUAUGGAGGGAGUUUCCAGGAAUUCGCAUUCUCAGGUGAAGUGGCUGCAUGAGGGAUGAGCCAGAUACCAAAACAAUGACCCAUGGUGAAAAAGUAUACAAAGACUCUGAUAACGGGAGACAGGCUGAGCAGAGAAGUGGAGGCAGAGGGAAUUGGGUGAGACUUUCCCUCUGAGGGCUUAUCAAGACAAUAAAGUAAAUACAUAAUUAUGAGGAUGUGUCUCUGAGUUCCCAGAAGAAGCAACUCUUUGGUGAAUCCGGCUUAGCCCAAACUGGGACCCCGAUGUGCCCAAGCUCCCUCAUGAAACCCUGUUCCCUGAGCAGGAAAGUAUUUAUGACCUACGAGGGGUGGAAUGGUACCUCUGAA